ACAGUCUUCCAGGUUGACCUCGGAUCAGGUAGGAAUACCCGCUGAACUUAAGCAUAUCAAUAAGCGGAGGAAAAGAAACCAACAGGGAUUGCCUCAGUAACGGCGAGUGAAGCGGCAACAGCUCAAAUUUGAAAUCUGGCCCCCGGGUCCGAGUUGUACUUUGUAGAGGAUGCUUUUGGCGCAGUGCCUUCCGAAGUUCCCUGGAACGGGACGCCGUGGAGGGUGAGAGCCCCGUCCGGUCGGCCGUCGCGCCUCUGUAAAGCUCCUUCGACGAGUCGAGUAGUUUGGGAAUGCUGCUCUAAAUGGGAGGUAAAUUUCUUCUAAAGCUAAAUACCGGCCAGAGACCGAUAGCGCACAAGUAGAGUGAUCGAAAGAUGAAAAGCACUUUGGAAAGAGGGUUAAACAGCACGUGAAAUUGUUGAAAGGGAAGCGUUUGCGACCAGACCUCUUCCUGGCGGAUCAUCCGGCGUUCUCGCCGGUGCACUUCGCCAGAUCGAGGCCAGCAUCGGUUUCCGGGAGGGGACAAAAGCUCUGGGAACGUAGCUCCUCCGGGAGUGUUAUAGCCCUCUGCACAAUACCCUCGCGGGGACCGAGGACCGCGCUCGC
rnacentral:rRNA from 1 species